AAAUUUGUGACAACUUAACUUGUCACAGAAACAAAUCAUUCUUGUCACAAUGCAAUAACAUAAAUUGAUUUUGGGACAAUAAUGACUCUGUUUAGAGAUAAAGUUUCUUGUUACUGAAAUAGCUUAAAGUGACAAGAACUUUUGUUGUCACUGAAAAUAAAAUUUGUGACAACUUAACUUGUCACAGAAACAAAUCAUUCUUGUCACAAUGCAAUAACGUAAAUUGGUUUUGGG
rnacentral:lncRNA from 1 species